CCUACGGGAGGCAGCAGUGAGGAAUAUUGGUCAAUGGGCGCGAGCCUGAACCAGCCAAGUAGCGUGAAGGAUGAAUGCCCUACGGGUUGUAAACUUCUUUUAUAAAGGAAUAAAGUGAGGCACGUGUGCCUUUUUGUAUGUACUUUAUGAUUAAGGAUCGGCUAACUCCGUGCCAGCAGCCGCGGUAAUACGGAGGCUCCGAGCGUUAUCCGGAUUUAUUGGGUUUAAAGGGAGCGUAGAUGGGUUGUUAAGUCAGUUGUGAAAGUUUGCGGCUCAACCGUAAAAUUGCAAUUGAUACUGGCAGUCUUGAGUACAGUAGAGGUAGGCGGAAUUCGUGGUGUAGCGGUGAAAUGCGUAGAGAUCACGAAGAACUCUGAUUGCGAAGGCAGCUUACUAAACUGCCACUGACAUUGAUGCUCGAAAGUGUGGGUAGCAAACAGGAUUAGAUACCCCUGUAGUC
rnacentral:rRNA from 1 species